GACGAACGCUGGCGGCGUGCCUAUACAUGCAAGUAGAACGCUGAAGAGAGGAGCUUGCUCUUCUUGGAAGAGUUGCGAACGGGUGAGUAACGCGUAGGUAACCUGCCUUGUAGCGGGGGAUAACUAUUGGAAACGAUAGCUAAUACCGCAUAACAAUGGAUGACACAUGUCAUUUAUUUGAAAGGGGCAACUGCUCCACUACAAGAUGGACCUGCGUUGUAUUAGCUAGUAGGUGAGGUAACGGCUCACCUAGGCGACGAUACAUAGCCGACCUGAGAGGGUGAUCGGCUACACUGGGACUGAGACACGGCCCAGACUCCUACGGGAGGCAGCAGUAGGGAAUCUUCGGCAAUGGGGGCAACCCUGACCGAGCAACGCUGCGUGAGUGAAGAAGGUUUUCGGAUCGUAAAGCUCUGUUGUAAGUCAAGAACGAGUGUGAGAGUGGAAAGUUCACACUGUGACGGUAGCUUACCAGAAAGGGACGGCUAACUACGUGCCAGCCGCCGCCGUAAAAC
rnacentral:rRNA from 1 species